UCAAUCACUCCACAGUUUUUUUCUAACUUCUAAUUAUUUUUCUUCUAAUAUUUUUUUUUUGUUUGGAUCUAUUCUGCGUAGCGUGCUGUUUUACAUCUUUUAGUUCAAUCGUUUUGUGUAGUAAUGCAAAUGUGCAUAAUAAAUAUACCUAUCAAGUCAUAUAAGUAGACAAGAAUAUUGUUUAGAUAGAUAAUCACAAUAAUACAUUCUAUGCUCGAACAUGCAUUGCUCAUGUUUAAGACAUUCAAAUAUUAUUGCUUGAGAUUGCUUGUACCCGUAACAAUGGGAAGCUUGUAUAAUUGUGAAUUAGUCUUCAUUUUAUUAUUAUAUAUUUUUGUGCCUUUUAGUGUCUAAUCAACAACUAAAUGUUAUUGAGGCUGCUGCUGCUUCUUCUUCUUCGGCGUGAGAGAGAGAAUUCUAUACUAUAAAUGCUUAGGUUUCAAAACAUGGAGAUGUACUAUCCAAGACCCAAACCCAAAAUCUUUAAUUGCUGAAAAGAGGUAUAUAACCACUAAGUUGAGCCUUAGAUUAUAACCCUUCUUUUCUUCGUAUUUUUUCUAUUAUAUAAGUUUUUCUUAUCUUUGAGACACCUUUUGCUAACCACAAAAUGAAGCAAGAAGAAAUAAUUUUCUAAUUUACUCAAAAGAUGAUCGAACACUAUAUUCCAUUAUAAAUAGAAAGAAAAUAUUAGGGGUCUAUAAAAGUGCCUUAACAACCACCAGUUCUAGGUUAACUCUUGAAUGGUGUAUCCCAAAAUCUGGAGCUGGAUAAUAUAGUACAGUGAAUAUCCCUCCCUCUCUCUUAAAAAUAAGUUAGCAAAAUGACUCAGCGAAUUACGGAUGCAUAAGCAUAGCAUGAAAAUCAAUGAGAGGAAUUAUAGAUAUAAAGGCAUUGACCACAUAUUCAUGGAUAUUUUCCCACAAUAGUUGUGUGAGGACUAGCCCACACACAGUAGACUAAUGGGCCAAGCCCAACAUGGCUGGCCCAUCUGAAAAUCCAAGUAGCCUUUCGGGAAGAAGAUGGAGGCGGUAAUCGCCAGCUGUCCGGCGGUUACAACUGCCUGACAGCCACGAUCACCACCACUCUUCUCCCUUCCCAUCGAGUGCCAUAAGAACCCGGGGCUCUUCUCACGGAUGUUUCAUUCCUCACCUCUCACUGCCCCUCACUCCUUUUUUCUCCUGCUACAAGGAACGGAAGAGUAGGGAUCUGAGCCGCCGGAGGGAACAUCAUAGAGUUGUCCCAGAGCUAGGUAAUUGAAGAAUCGGCACCCAAACCUAAGGUUGAUGGGCAAAUUAAGAUGAAUAGGAGAUGCUAGGAACAAGGAGCGUAACAUGCUCCAGGGUUAUGGGAAAGAUGAAUGUUAAAUGUUGAUAUUGUUUUUAGAAGCUUUGUAUGGAUUUUAAUACAUGAACAUUUAAUAACUUUCAUGAAUAUAGUUGUUUACAAUUUGAAGAUUUAAAGUGGCUGCAUGUUAUUGUAUGCUUAACUUGGCAAUAACACGGCCGUGUCAUGAACCGAAUUCGGGGCGUGACAAGUUGUACCAAGGAUUUUAUAAUUUAAGAUUAUGUUAUUAGCAAUGAAUUAUUAA